rnacentral:lncRNA from 1 species
UUCUCCAAGUCGAUAAGCACCAUGUGUAGGUCCUUCUUCUUAUCCCUGAAUUGCUCCGCCAGCCGCCUGACAAGGUGGAUAGCCUCUGUAGAGGAGCGUCUAAGACAGGAAUGCGCAAUUAUACAUCAAUAAUUAUACUUUGAAUGAAAUAUAAUAAAAAUUUCCCCCCAAUUCACCGGAUUGCACAAGUUUACAUCGUUGAAGACAGUCCUAAUUUACUUGCUAAUAGCAAAAGAGAAACAAAAGAAAUUCUUAGCAAAUACUAAGUUGUUUCAGGCAUAUCACCAAACACCUUGGGUUCACUAGUCUUAAUAAUUUAAAAUUUCAACAAACUGAUUAGAAUUUACAAAAAAGUAGAAGAGAACAGAGCAUUAAAAUAAAAAUUCUCUCAAACUAUAAAUAUUUAGAAAGAAAGAACACCAUGAAAAUAUGCCUACAACUUACAAGAAUACUGAUACUGUCAAUAAAUAAACUUUUUUUAAAGUAGAGUAAUGACCCAAUGUUCCAACAACAAGUUUAAAAUUACAGAUUUUUGCAUAGACGUUUCGAUUCAUAAAAUAUUAUUACUGGCAAAAGUUAGAAAAUAAAUCCAAAAGUGAUGAGCAGAAAUCGGAGCAAGAGGAAACAAACAGGAGAAACCUAACCAGAUGUAGCGAAUGAAAUAGAGGCUGCAAAAUAUAUCCAAAGAUCUAACCCACGUUAGUCUCUAAUGGCUGCCUAUGUGUUCUAAGGAUUGGACGGAGGUCAAUGUCGAGGAAGAUAGAGAUAUCAUUGGAGGUUAUUUGUUUCUCGCCGCUGGCUUUGCAGGGGGGAAGGGUUCCUGAAAAAAUAAAAAAAAUUGAAACAAAUUGAACAGAAAUGAAUAAGCAUAAGGGAAGACUCACCAAAAAGCAUACAUAGAGGAAGAAAAAACGACGGAGACAGAUAAAGACGUACCAAAGAUCUAACCCUCGUUGGUCUCUAAUGGCUGCCUAUGUGUUGUAAGGAUUGGACGGAGGUCAAUGUUGAGGAAGAUAGAGAUAUCACUGGAGGUUCUUUGUUUCUCGCCGCUGGUCUUUGGAGGGGGGAAGGGUAACAAAGAAGAACGAUGGGGAAUGGGCGACGACCAGAAGGGAGGAGGGUCUCAAGGUCAAGGUCGAAAAUGGCGCUGCUUUUCUCAUAAGAAGACCCGGGGGAGUUUAGUCUUGUCUCUCGUAGCUUAGCUCUUCAAAACCUAGGCGUUAUUUUUGUGUAUUUAGCAAUUAGGUAGUAGGGUAUAUACAUCUGAUU